GCGGGUGCGGCGCUGACCCGGAGGCGGCGGCGGCGGUGCCCGGAUGGAGGCACGUCAUUGUCCCCCGCCGGGCGGCUGGGCUGUGUGCGGCGGCGGCGGCGGCGGCGGCGGCGGCCGAGGGGGAUGGAGCGAGUGCCGAGCCGGGUCAGGGUUGAAAAAUGACCAUAGUUGACAAAACUGAACCUUCAGACCCAUCCACCUGUCAGAACCAGCCUGGCAGUUCUGAGGCCGUCUCACCUGAAGACAUGGACACAGGCUCUGCCAGCUGGGGUGCCGUGUCUUCAAUAAGUGAUGUCUCAAAUCAUACACUUUCAUUAGGGCCGGUGCCUGGUGCUGUAGUUUAUUCUAAUUCGUCUGUACCUGAAAAAUCAAAACCAUCACCACCAAAGGAUCAAGUCCUAGGUGAUGGCAUUGCUCCUCCUCAAAAGGUCCUAUUUCCAUCUGAAAAGAUUUGUCUUAAGUGGCAACAAAGUCAUCGGGUUGGCGCUGGGCUCCAGAAUUUGGGCAAUACCUGUUUUGCCAAUGCUGCAUUGCAGUGUCUGACUUAUACACCACCCCUCGCCAAUUACAUGUUAUCCCAUGAACACUCCAAGACAUGCCACGCCGAAGGAUUUUGUAUGAUGUGCACGAUGCAGACACACAUUACCCAGGCACUUAGCAACCCUGGGGACGUUAUCAAGCCGAUGUUUGUCAUCAAUGAAAUGCGGCGUAUAGCUAGACACUUCCGUUUUGGAAACCAAGAAGAUGCCCAUGAAUUUCUUCAGUACACGGUUGAUGCCAUGCAGAAAGCGUGUUUAAAUGGCAGCAAUAAAUUAGACAGACACACCCAGGCCACCACCCUGGUCUGCCAGAUAUUUGGAGGCUACCUAAGAUCCCGAGUUAAAUGUUUAAAUUGCAAAGGUGUUUCGGAUACCUUCGAUCCAUACCUGGACAUAACAUUGGAGAUUAAGGCUGCACAGAGUGUUACCAAGGCGUUAGAGCAGUUUGUGAAGCCGGAACAACUGGAUGGAGAAAACUCCUACAAAUGUAGCAAGUGCAAAAAAAUGGUUCCAGCUUCAAAGAGAUUCACCAUCCAUAGGUCCUCUAAUGUUCUUACCAUUUCACUGAAGCGUUUUGCCAACUUUACCGGUGGAAAAAUUGCUAAGGAUGUGAAAUAUCCGGAGUACCUUGAUAUUCGGCCCUAUAUGUCUCAGCCCAAUGGAGAACCAAUUAUUUAUGUUUUGUAUGCUGUGCUGGUGCACACUGGUUUUAACUGUCAUGCUGGCCACUACUUCUGCUACAUCAAGGCUAGCAAUGGCCUCUGGUAUCAGAUGAAUGACUCCAUCGUGUCCACCAGUGAUAUCAGAUCGGUGCUUAACCAGCAAGCUUACGUGCUCUUUUACAUCAGGUCCCAUGAUGUGAAAAAUGGAGGGGAACCCACUCAUCCUACCCAUAGCCCCGGCCAGUCUUCUCCCCGCCCAGGAAUCAGUCAGCGGGUAGUCAACAACAAGCAGGCGGCACCGGGGUUCAUUGGGCCCCAGCUGCCUUCCCAUGUGAUGAAGAACACACCACACUUGAAUGGCACCACGCCGGUGAAAGACACACCAAGUAGUUCUGUGUCAAGCCCUAAUGGAAACACCAGCGUCAAUAGGGCCAGUCCUGCUACUGCUUCAACUUCUGUGCAGAACUGGUCUGUUAACAGGCCCUCAGUUAUUCCAGAACACCCCAAGAAACAAAAAAUUACCAUCAGUAUUCACAACAAGUUGCCUGUUCGCCAAGGUCAGGCACAGCUAAAUAACAACCUCCAUGGCACUUGUCUGGAGGCCCCUAGCAAGGCAGCACCCUCUUCCACCAUCACUAACCCUUCUGCAAUACAGUCUACCUCGAACGUACCCACCACACCAGUUUCUAAUAAAGUAGCAAAAUCAGUUUCCCCCAGUGAGUCCUGUCCCAAGCCCAUGGUGAACGGCAAGGCUAAGGUGGGCUCCAGUGUGCUCGUCCCCUAUGGGGCCGAGUCCUCAGAAGAGUCUGAUGAGGAGUCGAAGGGGCUGGCCAAGGAGAACGGUGUGGACAUGAUGGCCAGCGCUCACUCGGACAGGCCGGAAGCUGCUGCAGAUGAGGAUGCUCAGGCUUCCCCUCACGAGCUUCAAGAGUCAGUCCUGCUAAACGGUGCUAAUAGUGCAGACAGUGACUCGCCAGAGAGAAGCCUGGCAUCGGACAGUGCCAGCUGCCAGGGCCAGCCCGAUCUACACACAGAAAACCUCUUUUCCAAACUUAAUGGUCUUCCUGGAAAGGUGAUGCCUGCUCCUUUGCAGUCUGUUCCUGAAGACAGAAUCCUUGAGACCUUCAAGCUUACCAACCAGACAAAGGGUCCAGCGGGGGAAGAGAGUUGGACUACGACAGGGGGAAGCUCUCCAAAGGACCCUGUUUCACAACCAGAGCCCAUCAGUGAUGAGACCAGUCCCCUUGAGAUACCGGAGGCAGUCACCAAUGGGAGCGUAACGACCGCUUCCACCCCGUCACCCCUGGAGCCUACCAUCAGCUGUACCAAAGAAGACUCAUCUGUUGUUGUCUCAGCCGAACCUGUGGAGGAUUUGCCUUCCAUCCCUGCUCUUUGUAACAGCACCGGUACUACCUUGGGGGAUGCCCCAGUGCCCGAAUCGUGUGACCCUGGAGACUUGACUGCCAACUCGAGCCAGCCAACCCAAGCGGUGAAAGACGAUACAGCUGAGACCUCUCAGGACUCUGCCUCGGCUGAAGUGGUGGAGAGGCUGAGCCCUGCUCCCUCAGGACUCACAGGUGAUGGGUGUGAGCAGAAACUCUUCCUUUACCUCAGCACAGAGGGGUCAGAGGAGGCAGAAGACUCUUCCAGAAGCUCGGCGGUCUCUGCUGACACAAUGCCUCCUCAGCCUGACAGGACCACCACCAGUUCCUGUGAAGGGGCUGCCGAGCAGGCUGUUGGGGACCGAGGGGAUGGAGGCAGUGUGGGACCUAAAGCUCAGGAGCCUUCCCCAGCCAAGGAGAAGAUGAGCAUCCUUCGGAAAGUGGACCGAGGACAUUAUCGAAGCCGGAGAGACCGGUCCUCUAGUGGGGAGCACGUGAGGGACAGCAGGCCCCGGCCAGAGGACCAUCACCAUAAGAAGAGGCGCUGUUCCAGCCGAGAGCGGCCCAAGCAGGAACGCCACCCUGCUAAUACAAACUGCAAUGGGGCCCAGCACCUGGGCCACGGUGACAGAGCCAGCCCUGAGCGCCGCUCCCUGAGCAGGUACAGCCACCAUCAUUCACGGAUUAGGAGUGGCCUGGAGCAGGACUGGAGCCGGUGCCACCAUUUAGAAAACGAGCAUGCCUGGGUCAGGGAGAGAUUCUACCCAGACAAGAUGCGGUGGGACAAGUGCAGGUAUUACUAUGACAGGUACACGGGCCUGUACGAGGCCCGUGAGUGGCGGCCUCUGCAUGGUCGUGAGCAUGAACGCCUUGUCCAGUCUGGACGGCCACACAAGGACAGCUACUGGGGCCGCAAGGGCUGGGAGUUGCAAUCCCGGAGCAAGGAACGGCCUCACUUCCACAGCCCCCGAGAGGCCCCUAGCCUUGCUCUGCCCCUCGAGAGGCAUCUCCAAGAGAAGGCUGCCGUCAGUGUGCAGAAGAGCAGCCACAGUCUCCCGGAGCGCUUUCAUGAACACCAAAGUGUCAAGUCGCGGAAACGGAGGUAUGAGACUCUAGAAAGUAAUAAUGGCCGUCUAGAAAAGAAAGUCCACAAAAGCCUGGAGAAGGACGCGCUAGAAGAGCCCCGCGUGAAGAAGCACAAAAAGUCUAAAAAGAAAAAGAAGUCCAAAGAUAAACAUCGGGAUAGAGACAGCAGGCACCAGCAAGAAUCCGACUUUUCAGGAGCAUACUCUGAUGCUGAUCUCCAUAGACACCGGAAGAAAAAGAAGAAAAAGAAAAGGCAUUCAAGGAAGUCGGAGGACUUUAUAAAAGAUGUUGAGAUGCAUUUACCGAAGCUCUCAAGCUAUGAGGCCGUUGGCCAUUUCCGGAGAACAGAGGAUACCUUUCUACUGGCUGAUGGUCGGCCUGUGGAAGACAGUGGCCCUUUCCGAGAGAAAACGAAGCAUUUAAGGAUGGAAAGCCGGCCUGACAGAUGCCAUCUGUCAGAGUAUGGCCAGGGUGACUAAAAGCUUUGGCCUCAAAACAACAAAAUUACGUCCAAGUGGUAUCUGAGGUCUGAGGCGAUUUGAGCUGUGGGGCCCAGCAGAUGGCGCUGCCCUGGCAUCCCAGGGUUCCCUGCUGCAAUCCAGGAAGAUUCAACAUUUUCAACAGAAGCCAUCCCCAACCCAGCUUAAAUUAUAAACAUAGAAAAUAACUCUGUCCAAACUGCGUGGUGCUUCUUUAGUAAAUACUGUACAGAUUUUACCAUGGACAACUUUUUUUUUUUUCAUUUUUUUUUUCAGUUUUUACCUUUUCUUAAUUGCCCUUAUUCCAAAAGGAUACUUUCUACACUGCUGAACGUUGUAAAUUACCGUGUACAUAAAAUCACACUGACAAUAAUGCCCUGGAAUAGACCAUCUCAAAUGCUGCUUCCCACAGACUCAGGUUGACUACUUGUAUCUCAUGUAAUGUUCCUCCACGCUAGACACCUGGUGCACGGCCAGCUGGGAACCAUGGACUUCAAAAGGACAAGCGACAGUGCGUCUAUUUAAUUUAAAGACUUAUUUAAAGACCCAAGCUCUCAGCGAGACCUUCGAGGGCUUCCUCUGCAAUGUCUGAUACUAGAAACUAAUUUGCUUCACAUUUUAGUUGUAUUCAAGAUUUGAAGAUGUAUUUUAUAGACAAGUUCUGUUUUUGAACUUUGUGGAACUAUUCCAAUCAAUUUACCAGUUAUGAUGAGUAUUUGCAUUAUGAAUGUAUAAUCCAGACAUUAUUUGUAAAGCCUACAGUAUGUUUUUUUUACCUAACACUUUUUAUACUGUGUCUCGUCUUCGACAAUAUGAUAUUGAAGUCUGAGUCGUCAGCUUGAUCCCUUCAAGUUUCUAGUUACAGACAAAAAUCAUACUGUGAUUUUAUUUUUAAUAUGGAUAUGCUAUAAAACUGUGACACUUAUAAUUCACUGGUCCUGCAUCAGGAGACGGGAGUGGGGAGAAGACUGUAUUUAAUACAGUGUGUAUCUGAAUAAUCUGUAUGGUUUAUACAGUUUGUGUUGUUCAGAGAUGUCUAAAGUUGAUCUUUGUUUUUUUAAGAUUAAAAAAAAAGCACUUGCCCCACUGUAUAUAUACGGCAUGUAAGAUUUAUAUAGGAUAUAAAUGGCAGCAA